rnacentral:lncRNA from 1 species
GGAAAACUAGUUAUAUGUUCAGGUCCAGUUUAUGCAGGUUGUACAAUAGAUACAGGGUGCAUGUCUGGUAUUGGAUUGGACAGCUGAGAUGUAUAAAGAAUAUGACUUGUUAGUGACAAAGUAAAUGGGUAGGAAGUUGUAAGGAAUGCUGUUAAGACAUGGAAGAUUGUCGAGGACCAAGUUGUUAGGAGAGAUUCAUUUAUUUCUCUCCGUAUAAACAAAAAGGAAGACAAAUAAGUAGAGAAUGGAGAAGAGAGAUACAGGUAGACCUGUGUACCAGAAACAGGAGCCAUUGUGAUGAGUUCCUGGUUGCCUGGGUUAUGCAAAGCCAAGGCUUUUAUUAUGUGAGCAAUGUGAAGAUGCUUCCUAGAAAAUGUUCUCAUCUACAAAGAGCAACAGCCUGGAGAGGACAGCAAUGACAAGGAUAAAGAAAAUUGAGGAGAUGAGACCCAAGGUCAGCAGUCACCUCAGCCUGGGUACCACUCAACUUUAAUUACCCAUGCAGACUCCCAGAUAACCCUAAAGCACAGGAUGGCAAAGAGACAAAAGCAGCCUAUGGGUGCUGAGUAAAUGCCAGCUUAACAUCUCUACUACCAUCUGAUUUAGUCAUCUAACAAGAAGAAAUGAAUAAGACAUGAACCAGAGACUGGAGCUAAAGUCCUUAAGUCCUUGCUUUUGGCCCUGUGCCCAGAUGACUAUAACUAUCUGCAUUAUCUAGGCAGCACAGGGUUUUUGUUGUUUUUACCUAAAGAUGUCUCUUUUUGGUAAUGGCAAACUUUUUUUUAAAAUAAGCCUUGUUUUUCUCAAUAUACCUUUAAUGGUUUUUAAAUUGUUUGUUAUCUGGUCAAGUUGAGAUUUUCAAGAACUUCAUUUUUAAUUUAUAAUAGAAGUUGACAUGUUGAUUUUUUCAAAAAUUCCAUUAGAUAGCUGAGUAUCACAGAUCAAAUCACCUAAUCUCUUUCAACUGGAGUUUUUCUUCUGUAAUAAAUGGAAGCAAUAUUCAUAUGCA